AAGCAAUAUGUGGAAGGAGAGAAUAAGAUACCAGAAGGAGCAACAGACUGAGAAGAACUUGCUUCAUGCUGAGAAGAAGCAGUCUGAGGAGAAACAAUCUGUGGCUGCAACUGAGAACUGAACAAGGCAAUCAAAUUCUGUAUCUGAUCAGGGGAGAAGUUACCAGCAAGAGUCUCAAGUUGUCCUGUCAUCUUAUCCGGAGAAAGAGUAACCUGAGCUGCCACUGCCUGAGGUUUUGGAGGUUUAUCAGAGGACUUCCCUUUAGGAGUGAAACCUGGUGGAAAACCAUGCUUCUUAUA
rnacentral:sRNA from 1 species